UUAAUUCCCUUCCAACUUGAUUCCGUAUACUUGGAGCUAUCAUGCUGUGCAUAAACACCAAGCUUGAAGUAAUGAAAGCUUCCUCUUCCAUCAGGAAUAGAUGGUGUCUUGGACAAAAGAUAUGUAAAGAGAUAUUUUAGCAUUACUUUGACGUGGAUUUCAGCCCGAGAUUUGUUUCACUUGCACGAGAAUGUGGGCUAUCUGUAGAAUACAACCAGAGCCUGUGUACUCCACUGAUGUAACUGUACUGAUCGUUAAGACGUAAAUUAUACGGCCACUGCUUCCUGAAAUUCUCUGAUGUUAAUCUCACAGCUUCAAAGCCAUUGUUCACCAUCGGAGCUGGCCAUUUUGAUGCAAAUUUCUAAGAGGUUUACUGGAUUUAAGUUUGAAGAUUCAUAAGCCUUCUGUUUUUCUAGAGGAAGAAAAUUUUUCCAGUUCCCCUCUGCUCAAUGACCUAUAGGAUUGGACAGUGACAUAUAUCGUAUCACGAGAGGAUAAAAAUGAUGAUGGCGAAGACCUAAAUGCUAGCAAUGAAAGUCAUCCGAGAAACAAAAAAGAGAACAGAGAUGGCUCGGGUUGGCAAAAUUGACUCAUAUGGCGGUAAUAGCCGUAUAUCAAAAUCAAAAUUCCAUUCGACAGACCGGAGAAAAGUUCGUUCAAAAUCGUGGAACCCAUUAGAAGGAGGCGCAUGUUUAAGGACUACAACAGGGGCAGAAGAGGAGAGAGUGGCGAAACGCACUCGUAGGGCUGCCCAUAACUUGAAGCUGCAGGACCUAGUCAAGUCGAACAUCGCUGGUGAUUGCGAUGACAACUUCUCCGAGGCUCUCUGACUUGGAAGGUUUCUUCUCCAAGUUGUCGUUCCAGUUCUUAUUUCUAUUCUCGCCGUCGAUGCGACUUACUCUCCCGUCAGUAAGCUGCUUAAUGCCAGUUUUUAGAAAGACUUCGUGUUUGUAGCUUU